CCUCAGCUUCUUCUUUUGCAGCUGAAGAGCUCAUACAGUGCUGGUCUUGGGGCAUCAAACAUACAGAGCCUGAUUCCUAUAAGCUGAUUCCUGGUUCAUCCUCAGACAAUGAACCCUCAGAAAAGGAGAUUACAUAGAGUGGCCAGUAUAGGGAGGAGAGUAUAUAGCUCUUAACAUCCUCAGACAUUGUGAUUUGAUGAAGUAUAUGUUUAUAGGGACUUAAUGGGAAAUGACAAAGGAAGGGAUAAUCUGUCUCUAUUGAAAGACAAAAGGGGAAAUGUGGGAAGUAUUCCAGCUCUCUGCCACAAAAAUACCUUAAUGCAUAAGUCAUCUGAGUCACUGCAACAUGCUCUGGCAGUUCUGAUGCCAAAUCUGUGACUGAAAUACCAAGGAAAGGCAGGUGUCAAUAGUCUUUCUAGUAAUGAGUGAUAUCUCAAACAUAUUCUUUGAAAGAGCCCAUUUUAUGUUAGAUAACUAGGGGUCCAACUGUUUACAGACCUACAGUCUGAGCCCACUGUCACACUGGGGAGUGUGUGGAUGGUGGCUGCAUUUCUAGAGUGGUGCUACUCAUCUGUAGUGUUGUGAAAGCAUAUGUGUGGGUGCUUUCACUCAGAAUAACUUCACAGAAAUAAGAAGUUUCCUUAGUGCUGUGGGCAGAUGUGACCCAGCUGUGGAUCUAGGACUGUGUUACAUGAAGUAGUUCAUGCCUUUAACCAGAUGGUCUGGUCUGGAUGAAGGGAGAAGUAAUUUUCCUAUUAAAUCUGUUCCUGCCUUGGGUGUUUCUGAUAUUCAACACUCAGAUUCCUUCUCUCUUCCUUUUUUUUUUUUUUUUUUAAGUAUGAUGUGUGUGGCAACUGAAUAUCAACCCUCACUUGAAUUUCUCCAAGUAUAUUACAAAGAUAGGAUACAGAGGUACAAACAUGUGAACUGUGAUCCACUUGCAGGUGGACUUAUAAAAUGA
rnacentral:lncRNA from 1 species